rnacentral:rRNA from 1 species
AGCGAUCGCUGGCGGCAGGCCUAACACAUGCAAGUCGAACGGAUCCUUCGGGAUUAGUGGCGGACGGGUGAGUAACACGUGGGAACGUGCCCUUUGGUUCGGAACAACUCAGGGAAACUUGAGCUAAUACCGGAUGUGCCCUUCGGGGGAAAGAUUUAUCGCCAUUGGAGCGGCCCGCGUCUGAUUAGCUAGUUGGUGGGGUAAAGGCCCACCAAGGCGACGAUCAGUAGCUGGUCUGAGAGGAUGAUCAGCCACAUUGGGACUGAGACACGGCCCAAACUCCUACGGGAGGCAGCAGUGGGGAAUCUUGCGCAAUGGGCGAAAGCCUGACGCAGCCAUGCCGCGUGAAUGAUGAAGGUCUUAGGAUUGUAAAAUUCUUUCACCGGGGACGAUAAUGACGGUACCCGGAGAAGAAGCCCCGGCUAACUUCGUGCCAGCAGCCGCGGUAAGAC